rnacentral:rRNA from 1 species
CCAGACUCCUACGGGAGGCAGCAGUGGGGAAUCUUCCGCAAUGGGCGCAAGCCUGACGGAGCAACGCCGCGUGAGUGAAGAAGGUCUUCGGAUCGUAAAGCUCUGUUGAUGGGGACGAACGUGCCUAAUGCGAAUAGUUUUAGGUAAUGACGGUACCCAUCGAGGAAGCCACGGCUAACUACGUGCCAGCAGCCGCGGUAAUACGUAGGUGGCGAGCGUUGUCCGGAAUCAUUGGGCGUAAAGGGAGCGCAGGCGGGCAAGUAAGUCUUUCUUAAAAGUGCGGGGCUCAACCCCGUGAUGGGAAAGAAACUACAUGUCUUGAGUACAGGAGAGGAAAGCGGAAUUCCCAGUGUAGCGGUGAAAUGCGUAGAUAUUGGGAGGAACACCAGUGGCGAAGGCGGCUUUCUGGACUGCAACUGACGCUGAGGCUCGAAAGCCAGGGGAGCGAACGGGAUUAGAUACCCCGGUAGUCCUGGCCGUAAACGAUGGAUACUAGGUGUGGGAGGUAUCGACCCCUACCGUGCCGGAGUUAACGCAAUAAGUAUCCCGCCUGGGGAGUACGGCCGCAAGGCUGAAACUCAAAGGAAUUGACGGGGGCCGCACAAG